GAUGAACGCUGGCGGCGUGCCUAAUACAUGCAAGUCGAGCGAACAGACGAGGAGCUUGCUCCUCUGACGUUAGCGGCGGACGGGUGAGUAACACGUGGAUAACCUACCUAUAAGACUGGGAUAACUUCGGGAAACCGGAGCUAAUACCGGAUAAUAUAUUGAACCGCAUGGUUCAAUAGUGAAAGACGGUUUUGCUGUCACUUAUAGAUGGAUCCGCGCCGCAUUAGCUAGUUGGUAAGGUAACGGCUUACCCAGGCAACGAUGCGUAGCCGACCUGAGAGGGUGAUCGGCCACACUGGAUCUGAGACACGGUCCAGACUCCUACGGGAGGCAGCAGUAGGGAAUCUUCCGCAAUGGGCGAAAGCCUGACGGAGCAACGCCGCGUGAGUGAUGAAGGUCUUCGGAUCGUAAAACUCUGUUAUUAGGGAAGAACAAAUGUGUAAGUAACUAUGCACGUCUUGACGGUACCUAAUCAGAAAGCCACGGCUAACUACGUG
rnacentral:rRNA from 1 species